rnacentral:rRNA from 1 species
CGCCUUGCCAGCCCGCUCAGAACUUAAAGGAAUGAGGGGCCCGCACAGGCGGUGGAGUAUGUGGUUUAAUUCGAUGCAACGCGAAGAACCUUACCUGGUCUUGACAUCCCGGAGACCCUUAGGAAACUAGGGGUGCUUCCAUCUGGAAGAAUCUGGAGACAGGUGCUGCAUGGCUGUCGUCAGCUCGUGUCGUGAGAUGUUGGGUUAAGUCCCGCAACGAGCGCAACCCUUGCCUUUAGUUGCCAGCAGUUCGGCUGGGCACUCUAAAGGGACUGCCGGUGUUAAACCGGAGGAAGGUGGGGAUGACGUCAAGUCCUCAUGGCCUUUAUGACCAGGGCUACACACGUACUACAAUGGCCGAUACAAAGGGCAGCGACACUGCGAGGUGAAGCCAAUCCCGUAAAAUCGGUCUCAGUCCGGAUUGGAGUCUGCAACUCGACUCCAUGAAGUUGGAAUCGCUAGUAAUCGUGGAUCAGCAUGCCACGGUGAAUACGUUCCCGGGCCUU